AUACGGAGGGGGCAAGCGUUAUUCGGAAUCACUGGGCGUAAAGGACGCGUAGGCGGGUUUGUAAGUCAGGUGUGAAAUCCUACAGCUCAACUGUAGAACUGCACUUGAAACUACAGACCUAGAGUAUGGAAGGGGCAGAUGGAAUUAGUGGUGUAGGGGUAAAAUCCGUAGAUAUCACUAGGAAUACCGAAAGCGAAGGCGAUCUGCUGGGACAUUACUGACGCUGAGGCGUGAAAGCGUGGGGAGCAAACAGGAUUAGAAACCCCGGUAGUCC
rnacentral:rRNA from 1 species